GACGAACGCUGGCGGCGUGCUUAACACAUGCAAGUCGAACGGAAAGGCCCUGCUUGCAGGGUACUCGAGUGGCGAACGGGUGAGUAACACGUGGGUGAUCUGCCCUGCACUUCGGGAUAAGCCUGGGAAACUGGGUCUAAUACCGGAUAGGAGCCAUUUUUAGUGUGAUGGUUGGAAAGUUUUUUCGGUGUAGGAUGAGCUCGCGGCCUAUCAGCUUGUUGGUGGGGUAAUGGCCUACCAAGGCGGCGACGGGUAGCCGGCCUGGGAGGGUGGACGGCCACAUUGGGACUGAGAUACGGCCCAGACUCCUACGGGAGGCAGCAGUGGGGAAUAUUGCACAGUGGGCGCAAGCCUGAUGCAGCGACGCCGCGUGGGGGAUGACGGCCUUCGGGUUGUAAACUCCUUUCGCUAGGGACGAAGCUUUUGUGACGGUACCUAGAUAAGAAGCACCGGCUAACUACGUG
rnacentral:rRNA from 1 species